rnacentral:rRNA from 1 species
CUUGGUCAUUUAGAGGAGUAAAAGUCGUAACAAGGUUUCCGUAGGUGAACCUGCGGAAGGAUCAUAUCGAUUUUUAAAGAUGUGCUGGCACUCCUUCACCGGUUUGCAUGUGCAUCUGCAAAAUCUCCUUCUCUUACCCCACUGUGCACACCCAAGUAGACAACAGAGUUACAGAGCAAUCUGUGUAAUUCCUGAUUUGCCUAUGUUUUAUCAACACCAAUGACAAUCUCAGAAUGAUCUAUAUAGUAAGCUUUUAACAAGUGAAAUUUAAUACAACUUUCAACAAUGGAUCUCUUGGUUCUCGCAUCGAGAAGAACGCAGCGAAUUGCGAUAUGUAAUGUGAAUUGCAGAAUUCAGUGAUCAUCGAAUCUUUGAACGCACCUUGCACCCUCUAGCAUUCUGGAGGGUUGCCUGUUUGAGUGUCAUUAAUCUCUCAACACAAGAAACUUUGUCUUCUGUGCUUGGAUAUUGAAGGUUUUGCUGGCGCAAACAACUGUCAGCUCCUUUAAAUGUAUUAGCAGAGCAGUAUUGGACUGGCCUCGGUUUGAUAAGAAAUUUAUCUAUGCUGUCGCUGGGUUCUCUCUGUGCUCAGCUUCAAAUCGUCUCGGACUGUCUCUUGAGGCAAACAAAUCUCUAUUGAUCGACCUCAAAUCGGUAGGACUACCCGCUGAACUUAAGCAUAUCAAUAAGCGGAGGA